rnacentral:rRNA from 1 species
UGCAAGUCGAACGGUGAAGCGAGAGCUUGCUCUCGUGGAUCAGUGGCGAACGGGUGAGUAACACGUGAGUAACCUGCCCCAGACUCUGGGAUAAGCCUUGGAAACGAGGUCUAAUACCGGAUACGAGACGAGAUCGCAUGGUCAUCGUCUGGAAAGAAUUUCGGUCUGGGAUGGACUCGCGGCCUAUCAGCUUGUUGGUGAGGUAAUGGCUCACCAAGGCGACGACGGGUAGCCGGCCUGAGAGGGCGACCGGCCACACUGGAACUGAGACACGGUCCAGACUCCUACGGGAGGCAGCAGUGGGGAAUAUUGCACAAUGGGCGCAAGCCUGAUGCAGCGACGCCGCGUGGGGGAUGAAGGCCUUCGGGUUGUAAACCCCUUUCAGCAGGGAAGAAGCGAAAGUGACGGUACCUGCAGAAGAAGCGCCGGCUAACUACGUGCCAGCAGCCGCGGUAAUACGUAGGGCGCAAGCGUUGUCCGGAAUUAUUGGGCGUAAAGAGCUCGUAGGCGGUCUGUCGCGUCUGCUGUGAAAACCCGAGGCUCAACCUCGGGCCUGCAGUGGGUACGGGCAGACUAGAGUGUGGUAGGGGAGACUGGAAUUCCUGGUGUAGCGGUGGAAUGCGCAGAUAUCAGGAGGAACACCAAUGGCGAAGGCAGGUCUCUGGGCCACUACUGACGCUGAGGAGCGAAAGCAUGGGGAGCGAACAGGAUUAGAUACCCUGGUAGUCCAUGCCGUAAACGGUGGGCACUAGAUGUGGGGCUCUUUCCAUGAGUUCCGCGUCGCAGCUAACGCAUUAAGUGCCCCGCCUGGGGAGUACGGCCGCAAGGCUAAAACUCAAAGGAAUUGACGGGGGCCCGCACAAGCGGCGGAGCAUGCGGAUUAAUUCGAUGCAACGCGAAGAACCUUACCAAGGCUUGACAUAUACCCUUUAUCCCUAGAGAUAGGGAGUCCUUCGGGGGGGUAUACA